rnacentral:rRNA from 1 species
ACUUAUACGUGGCACAGAGUAACUAAGCUUAUAGCAUCUGAUAAUCCUACUACCGGGAGAUUCAGGUGCAUGGCUAGAGUACGGUAGAGGGGGAUGGAAUUCCGCGUGUAGCAGUGAAAUGCGUAGAUAUGCGGAGGAACACCGAUGGCGAAGGCAAUCCCCUGGACCUGUACUGACGCUCAUGCACGAAAGCGUGGGGAGCAAACAGGAUUAGAUACCCUGGUAGUCCACGCCCUAAACGAUGUCAACUGGUUGUUGGGAGGGUUUCUUCUCAGUAACGUAGCUAACGCGUGAAGUU